GAUGAACGCUGGCGGCGUGCCUAAUACAUGCAAGUCGAGCGAACAGACGAGGAGCUUUCUCCUCUGACGUUAGCGGCGGACGGGUGAGUAACACGUGGAUAACCUACCUAUAAGACUGGGAUAACUUCGGGAAACCGGAGCUAAUACCGGAUAAUAUAUUGAACCGCAUGGUUCAAUAGUGAAAGACGGUUUUGCUGUCACUUAUAGAUGGAUCCGCGCCGCAUUAGCUAGUUGGUAAGGUAACGGCUUACCAAGGCAACGAUGCGUAGCCGACCUGAGAGGGUGAUCGGCCCCACUGGACUUGAGACACGGUCCAGCCCCCUACGGGAGGCAGCAGUAGGGUAUCUUCCGCAAUGGGCGCAAGCCUGACGGAACAACGCCGAGUGAGUGAUGAAGGUAUUCGGAUCGUAAAACUCUGUUAUUAGGGAACAACAAAUGUGUAAGUAACUAUGCACGUCUUGACGGUACCUAAUCAGAAAGCCACGGCUAACUACGUG
rnacentral:rRNA from 1 species